AGCUUGGAGGACCAAAAACCCGGAAGGAGGGAGGCGUGAAACUCCCCCAGCAAGCCAACUCUGGAAACACGCUUUCUCUCUCUCUAUAAAGUUGAGAGCUUCUCCCUCUAGAAAGUACUACCCAAAUUUUAAAUAGCGACAAAAGAAUAUCUAGAAAUGGAGAGGAGACGUGACACCAGCCGUUAAAUCCUCCCGUAAGCGUGGUGAUGCGUAACACGAGAGCAUCAACCAUGACAUCACUACCUCAAAGCCACUCCACCACUCUCAACGGCCUCCUAUCCUUCCUUCCAAAUCCCCCAAACCCCAAACAAAAUCUCAUUCCUAAACACCAAGUUUUUCAGCACCGAAUCACGGUCUCUCGCAGAGACAUCGCUUUGCUGCCGUUCCUCGCUCUCGUGCCCUCCCUCUCUCCGGUCGCCCCUGCAUCUGCAUUCUCCAUCGGCAUUUCAGGACCGAAGGAUUGGUUGAAAGAGCAAAAGAAGAAAGCCUCCAAGUUCGUCUUAGCCCCAAUCGACGCCUCGCGAGAAAGCCUUCGCUCUGCCUAUGUCUUACUCACAGCUAGGGAUUCUGAAUAUUCGGCUAAGGACUUGGAGGAAGUUCAAGAGCUGUUGAGGUCGGCCGCUAGGGACUGUGUUCCUCAGGAUAGGAGUUCCAUUGUUAGCUUUCAAGCCAGCACGGGAGUUGAGGUUUGCACCUUCCGAUUGAUUGUGAAGAAUGCGUCCUCAUUGCUUGAUAACAAGGAUCCUGUGAAGUUAGAAGCCGAAGCUACACUAAAUGAUCUUAUAAGAUCUUUCACUUCUCUUAAUGGUCUAGCCAGCGAAACUGACAUUCAACUUGCUUCCAGUAGACAGAAGGUAGCAGUUGCACUCAUGGAUACCAUAUCUUUCCUUGACAAGUUUGAGCAGGGAAUUAAAGAAUGCCUUGAAGUUUGACCAUUAUGCUAUGACUAAAAUAUUCUGGUGUAUAUUGUGCUCAAAGGUUUUGCAGCUUGUCUGUUGGACUUGGAAGAUAGUGGAAAAGCCUGCACCAAAUAUAAGCGACAGCAUGGUGUUCCGUCAUCUGGGUGCUGUUGUAGGGAUCUAGGCAAGCUGCGAAGCUUGUUAAACAGAUUUAGUGGAUCGUGCAUUAGCCCAAAAUGAGCAUCUGGAUCACCGAUUUGAGAAAGCUUAACAUGAGAAAACCCCAGACAAGGCAGGAGAUGAUCAGGCCAAUCACUGUAGAAGUGAAAGAUGGAAUUUGACAGCGUGAUUGAUGCUUUGUUCAUGAAAUCUGCUAAUAGGACUGUGUGGGUAAGGGCGCACUUCUCAGCUAUGAUCUUCAGUACCUGCGUGGCCUGGGAGUGGGACAGGGAUUUUGCUGUCUCCUUUGGAUGCUGGUGUUCAUCUUUGGAUGCCAUUGCUGCCUGUAGAAGAGAUGUUUUCACUUGCAAGACUUUGGGAAAAUCGACUUCAAAAACAUCGCUAUCCUUCAAGCAGUUUAAACGGUAUGCCCUUGCAUCCAUCCCUGAAAGAAAACAGACCCAAGAAAAAUUAUUAAAAAAAUAAACAUAUUUUGUUGUCAUGUCAUUGCAACCUGGGACAUUCUCUCGUUGUCUGAUAGAUUAAUGUUUAUGUUGAGUACUUCCUAGAUAGGCCAUAGUCCGCUUUCUAAUUUCUAUUGUUUGCGUAAGCGUCUACUAUUUGUUUUUAAAGAUUUGUAAAUCAUGGUUCUGCAGUCUGCACUAAAGUUUGGUACACAAAACAGUUUGCUAUAGCAGAGUGUCCCGACCCAUUUUCAUUAGACCAAGGGAGCGUUUUGAAUCA